rnacentral:tRNA from 1 species
UGGCUCAAUGGUUAAGAGCACUGGACACUUUCCAGAGGACCUGGUUUCGAUUCCCAG